rnacentral:tRNA from 1 species
UGGGGGUGUAGCUCAUCUGGCUAGAGCGCUUGCAUGGCAUGCAAGAGGUAAGGGGUUCAAGUCCCCUCAUCUCCAU